rnacentral:pre_miRNA from 14 species
GCUCCUUGGUUGAAGGGUGGACUCCCUUCAACUUUAACAUGGAGGUGCUUUCUGUGACUUUCGUUAGAAAAAGUAAGUGCUUCCAUGUUUUAGUCGAAGUGAAUUCAGCUUACUCCUACAAAUCGA